CCUCUUAUUCUUGCCUCUCUUUCUCUUGCCCUCUUACUCUCUGGCUCCCUCUCUCUCCCCAUUCCCUUCUCCCUUCCCUCCACAUGGUCAUGGCCAGCCUCUACUUCUCUACUCUCUCCCUCUCUCUGCCUCUACUACCCUAACUCUCCUCCCCAUGCCCUGAAGAAACUCUGUUCUACACUAUACCAUCGUGUGGCUGGUCCCUCAGGGGAAAGGGAUGCCUUGGCAUGGGCCCGCUGUGGCACCCCUUCCCCCAUACCUCACCACACCUCCAUAGAACAUAUCUUAUAGCUCGUCAUCUUUUUCAAAACACAUCAUCUGGUGCCAUGACUCAGAUCUAGAAACUCUGCAGGUUUGCAUCCCACCUCAGCUACCACAAGAGAUCCACGAUCACUAGCCGAGAUCUGGCUACUUCUCUACUUUUCUCCCCCUCUCUGCCUUUCUACAACAAAUGCCUUAAAACCAUGGACUGCCUCUUCUCAUGGGGACCUGCCAUGGAAGAGCAACGGAGCAGGUCUUCCUAGCUGCCUCUAACCUUUCACCCAGAGGCCUCCCUGCGUUCCCACCAACCCAAGCCGCCUGCCAGGCCAGGGACUCCAGACCCAGCUUUUCCGCAGUGCCCAAUGUUGUCCUCGAGAACCUAUGCCUUCCCCACCUCCAAAGCGGGGUCUCGUGGCUUCUCACAGCCUGACGCCCACCCAGCAGUGGCAUCUACGCAGUCAAACUCCUAGUGUCCACCUCACCCAGAGGCCUGAGCCCUGGGCUGAAUGCGGGACCCCAUAAGUCGAGAGGAGAGCUGAGGGUGCUUGAUGUGCAAGCACGAAGAUCUGAGCUCAAAUCUUCAGGACCAGGUAGAUAUCUGAGGGUUAGGCAGAAGGGACGAGGGCUGGAGACAGGAAGAUUGUUGGGUCUUGCCAGUUGCCAGCUUGCUAACAGUGAUCAGGGUCUAAGCCAGGUAUUUCCAGGGUUU
rnacentral:lncRNA from 1 species